rnacentral:rRNA from 1 species
GACGUAGGUGGCGAACGUUAUCCGGAAUUACUGGGCGUAAAGCGUGCGCAGGCGGUUUUGUAAGCCAGGUGUGAAAUCCCCGGGCUCAACCUGGGAAUGGCAUUUGGGACUGCAAGGCUGGAGUGCGGCAGAGGAGACUGGAAUUCCUGGUGUAGCAGUGAAAUGCGUAGAUAUCAGGAGGAAUACCGAUGGCGAAGGCAGGUCUCUGGGCUGACACUGACGCUCAUGCACGAAAGGCGUGGGGAGCAAACAAGGAUUACGAA